rnacentral:tRNA from 1 species
ACUCACCAUAGUUUAUUAUAAAACAUCGACCUGCAAAAUUGAAAAAAGAUUUAUUCUUGGUGUGUU